CCUACGGGGGGCAGCAGUGAGGAAUAUUGGUCAAUGGACGAGAGUCUGAACCAGCCACGUAGCGUGAAGGAUGACUGCCCUCUGGGUUGUAAACUUCUUUUAUAUGGGAAUAAAAUGUUCCACGUGUGGGAUUUUGUAUGUACCAUAUGAAUAAGGAUCGGCUAACUCCGUGCCAGCAGCCGCGGUAAUACGGAGGAUCCGAGCGUUAUCCGGAUUUAUUGGGUUUAAAGGGAGCGUAGGUGGAUUGUUAAGUCAGUUGUGAAAGUUUGCGGCUCAACCGUAAAAUUGCAGUUGAAACUGGCAGUCUUGAGUACAGGAGAGGUGGGCGGAAUUCGUGGUGUAGCGGUGAAAUGCUUAGAUAUCACGAAGAACUCCGAUUGCGAAGGCAGUUCACUGGACUGCAACUGACACUGAGGCUCGAAAGUGUGGGUAUCAAACAGGAUUAGAUACCCUAGUAGUC
rnacentral:rRNA from 1 species